rnacentral:rRNA from 1 species
GUGAGUAACACGUGGGUGAUCUGCCCUGCACUUCGGGAUAAGCCUGGGAAACUGGGUCUAAUACCGGAUAUGACCAUGAGAUGCAUGUCUUGUGGUGGAAAGCUUUUGCGGUGUGGGAUGGGCCCGCGGCCUAUCAGCUUGUUGGUGGGGUUAAGGCCUACCAAGGCGACGACGGGUAGCCGGCCUGAGAGGGUGACCGGCCACACUGGGACUGAGAUACGGCCCAGACUCCUACGGGAGGCAGCAGUGGGGAAUAUUGCACAAUGGGCGCAAGCCUGAUGCAGCGACGCCGCGUGAGGGACGACGGCCUUCGGGUUGUAAACCUCUUUCAGCACAGACGAAGCGCAAGCAGAAGAAGGACCGGCCAACUACGUGCCAGCAGCCGCGGUAAUACCUAGGGUCCGAGCGUUGUCCGGAAUUACUGGGCGUAAAGAGCUCGUAGGUGGUUUGUCGCGUUGUCGUGAAACUCACAAGCUNAACUGUGGGCGUGCGGGCGAUACGGGCAGACUA